rnacentral:tRNA from 9 species
GCGGUCGUGGUGAAGUGGCUAACACAGCGGGUUGUGGUCCCGUCAUUCGCGGGUUCGAAUCCCGUCGACCGCCCCA